rnacentral:rRNA from 1 species
AGCCGCGGUAAUACGUAGGGGGCGAGCGUUGUCCGGAAUUACUGGGCGUAAAGGGUGCGUAGGCGGCCUUUUAAGUCAGAUGUGAAAGGCUGCGGCUUAACCGCAGGACUGCAUUUGAAACUGGAAGGCUUGAGUGUCGGAGAGGGUAGUGGAAUUCCCAGUGUAGCGGUGAAAUGCGUAGAUAUUGGGAGGAACACCAGUGGCGAAGGCGACUACCUGGACGAUAACUGACGCUGAGGCACGAAAGCUAGGGGAGCAAACAGGAUUAGAUACCCUGGUAGUCCUAGCCGUAAACGAUGGGUACUAGGUGUAGGUGGGUUCGAUACCAUCUGUGCCGCAGUUAACGCAAUAAGUACCCCGCCUGGGGAGUACGGUCGCAAGACUGAAACUCAAAGGAAUUGACGGGGGCCCGCACAAGCGGUGGAGCAUGUGGUUUAAUUCGAAGCAACGCGAAGAACCUUACCAGGUCUUGACAUCCCUGGACAGCCAUGGAAACAUGGUGUUCCUUCGGGACCAGGAGACAGGAGGUGCAUGGCC